rnacentral:rRNA from 1 species
CAACGAGCGCAACCCCUGCCCCGUGUUGCCAGCAUUCAGUUGGGGACUCGCGGGGGACUGCCGGCGUCAAGCCGGAGGAAGGUGGGGACGACGUCAAGUCAUCAUGCCCCUUAUGCCCUGGGCCGCACACGUGCUACAAUGGCCGGUACAGAGGGUUGCGACCCCGCGAGGGGGAGCGGAUCCCGCAAAGCCGGCCCCAGUUCGGAUCGGAGGCUGCAACCCGCCUCCGUGAAGCCGGAGUUGCUAGUAAUCGCGGAUCAGCACGCCGCGGUGAAUACGUUCCCGGGCCUUGUACACACCGCCCGUCACACCACCCGAGUCGUCUGCACCCGAAGCCGCCGGCCGAACCCUUUUAGGGGCGGAGGCGUCGAAGGUGUGGAGGGUGAGGGGGGUGAAGUCGUAACAAGGUAGCCGUACCGGAAGGUGCGGCUGGAUCACCUCCUUUCUAGGGAG